CCUACGGGUGGCAGCAGUAGGGAAUCUUCCACAAUGGACGAAAGUCUGAUGGAGCAACGCCGCGUGUGUGAUGAAGGUCUUCGGCUCGUAAAACACUGUAGUAAGAGAAGAAUGACAUUGAGAGUAACUGUGCAGUGUGUGACGUUAUCUUACGAGAAAGGAACGGCUAACUACGUGCCAGCAGCCGCGGUAAUACGUAUGUUCCAAGCGUUAUUCGGAUUUAUUGGGCGUAAAGCGAGCGCAGACGGUUGUUUAAGUUCGAAGUGAAAGCCCACAGCUUAACCGUGGAAGUGCUUUGGAAACUGGAGAACUUGAGUGCGGUAGAGGAGAGUGGAACUCCAUGUGUAGCGGUGAAAUGCGUAGAUAUAUGGAAGAACACCAGUGGCGAAGGCGGCUCUCUGGACUGUAACUGACGUUGAGGCUCGAAAGUGUGGGGAGCAAACAGGAUUAGAUACCCGAGUAGUC
rnacentral:rRNA from 1 species